rnacentral:rRNA from 1 species
AUUGAACGCUAGCGGGAUGCUUUACACAUGCAAGUCGAACGAGUGGCGGACGGGUGUGUAAUAUAUCGGACCGUGCCCAGUAGCGGGGGAUAACUACUCGAAACAGUGGCUAAUACCGCUAACUAUUGGCUCGGCCGUUAUCGGAUUAGCUAGUUGGUGGGGUAAAGGCUCACCAAGGCAACGAUCCGUAGCUGGUCUGAGAGGACGACCAGCCACACUGGGACUGAGACACGGCCCAGACUCCUGCGGGAGGCAGCAGUGGGGAAUUUUGGACAAUGGGGGAAACCCUGACCGAGCCAUCCCGCGUGUAUGAGAAGGCCUUCGGGUUGUAAAGUACUUUUGGCAGGGAAGCGGUAUCUGAAGAAUAAGCACCGGCUAACUACGUGCCAGCAGCCGCGGUAAUUC